ACCGACAUCAUGGAUUCGUUCUUUGAACCGCGGCCCACUGCCAGGUAAGAGCUCAUGCCCAGUUUUUCCAUCUCUUCUUCACCAAUGAUUUUGGUGGUGAUGGUUUCAUAGUCAUCAGCCAGGCGACGAGCCUGAGACGCCAGGUAAGCUGGGUUAGCAAUGUUUGGUGGCAUGUUGCCAAGAUCUUU
rnacentral:antisense_RNA from 1 species